CAUUUCCCAGCAGACCAUUGAGAAGGGGGCCGCGAGAGAGGACUCUAGGUUCCCGACCGCUCGCACUCUGGCGUGUCCACGGUAACGCACAUUCCUACAGCCCACAUCCUUUUUCUAUAGAAGCUGAAAGGACUACGUCCCCCAUCAGGCCUUGCCGCCGAGGGAGAGCGGUAGGCCGCCAUCUUUGCUGUAGUCCUUACCCCCGUUUUCGCAGGAAGUAGCCUUCGGGCGUGGACUACAAAUCCCAGGUCGUCGUCGCCCCUUCCCUUAGGCAGACAUCUUUGCUGGUAGUCCCCGCCCCUUUUUAUUUCCAUUGUCUCGACCGAGGAUAAUAGAGAGGACGCGGGAAGACUGCAACUCCCGUCAGGCUCUGCGCCACCGGGAGGGGGAUUUCGCUCUUACAGGCGGGCGAGGUACCCAAGGUGGUAGAAUGAGGCGACUGGGAGAGGCUAGGUAGCCUGCCAUCUUUGUGGUAGUCUCCUUACCCUCCCGGUUUCGUCAUUCUUAAGCCAUCUUGUUUGUAGUCCUCGUUCCUUUUCACCUUUCCAUUGUUCCUGACGAGUAGAAAUGGCAGCGGGAAGGCAGCAGAUGGACUGCGACUCCCGUCAGCACCAGUGGCCGCAGGACUACGACUUCCGUCGUUCCCUGCGCGUGUUCGUUCUGGCAAGUGGAGUGGUGAGGAAAGGAGGAGGCAGGGGGCGGGGUUCCUCUGGGAGAAGGAGGGAGUAAGGAGGAGGA